rnacentral:rRNA from 1 species
AUUGAACGCUGGCGGCAGGCCUAACACAUGCAAGUCGAACGAGUGGCGGACGGGUGAGUAAUGGCUGGGAAACUGCCCGAUGGAGGGGGAUAACUACUGGAAACGGAAGCUAAUACCGCAUACCAUCGGAUGUGCCCAAAUGGGGUUUGCUAGAAGGUGGGGUAAAGGCUCACCUGGGCGACGAUCACUAGCUGGUCUGAGAGGAUGACCAGAAACACUGGAACUGAGACACGGGCCAGACUCCGACGGGAGGCAGCAGUGGGGAAUAUUGCACAAGGGGCGCAAGCCUGAUGCAGCCAUGCCGCGUGUAUGAAGAAGGCCUUCGGGUUGUAAAGUACUUUCAGCGAGGAGGCGUUACUAGCAGAAGAAGCACCGGCUAACUCCGUGCCAGCAGCCGCGGUAAUUC